AAGAAUGGGCCAGCAACAAGUUAAUGCUUAAAGCAUAUGCUUGGAAGAUACUCUUACCACAAACCAGAACCUAUUCCUCUAAUUCCCUUUAAAGCUCACAAAACCUUCCUUCACUCAUUCCUUCAUCCAUGGCCUCCAUCUAGGUGCCCAUUGCUGCUCUCCCCACCAAAGUUCCGAUGGCAACGAGGACAUGCAGCGGCGAGAUCAGCGGUGACGAUGAGGAGGACGAGGAGGAUAUAAAUCAUGGCCGUUGAAAGUUGCGGAACAUGUUUGGUCAUUGUAUUGGGCAACUAAGUACUCUUUGGCAGAGCAUCUAGGAUGAGACGCUUAUUAUGGCUCAACAAAUUAACCUCAGUUUAAUUAUAAGGCGAAGACAAAUAGGUUAGGUACAUGCAAAAGCGGAUAAAGUUGUGGUUACAGAUUGCGUUGCGAUGGCUGGAUCACUUAUGAAAAGGGUCUUCACGACGAAUAUGGAAAUGUGGAAAUAUGAAAACCAAAUAGAUUCCGCAAAUUCUUUGUGGAGUUUCUAGAUUUUCCCUUCCGUAGGGUUUAAGCCAUUGAUUUGUGUAAUGAGGAAAACCCGAUGAACACCUAAAUGUCUUUUUUUUUUGUUGUUGUUGUUGUUGUUGUUGUCGUCGUAAACACCUAAAUGUCAGAUACGCACAACAUCCACAAAUCUCACAAAUCUCGAAUACGUGCAAUCAUCCGCAAA